AUAGUAAGUUAAAUUUUUGGGUUUUGUGGCUUAUUAAGUUAUUAUAUAUGCUAACAUGCAAGUUACCACAUUGCUUACAUUGCAGGGUGUAUUAUUAAAAAGAAUAAAAGAGCAAGGUACCUUUGGGCGUGUUUGGCAAAAGUAGCUGUUAGCUGGAAGCGGGUAGCGGUUAGCUGGUAGCAGGUAGUUGGUAGCGGAAAGCUGUAGCUUUUAUUUGUUAUAUGAAUGUUUGGCAAAAGUAGCUGGAAGCUUUUGAAAUAUAUAAAAUUACAUAAAAGGACAAUUGAUUAAAAAUAAAAAAAUAUAUAAAUAUAUUUUUAAGGGUAAUUAUAGAAAUUGAUUUCAAAAGCUCUGGAGCGUUUUGUUAAAAGCUACAUGAAGUAGCUUUUAGAAUCGGAGCGUUUUGUUAAAACUAAAAGCUAAACGCUCGUACUACCAAACGAAGCUUUUUGUUUAAACUAAAGCGUUUUGUCAAAAGCUAAAAGCUAGAAGCUCCCAAACGCUUCCUAAAGCUCUGUGCCAAACACGCCCUUUAUAUCAAAGUCGUGUAUAUAGUACAUCCGUUAGAAGCGAUUAAAAGAACAAAUUAAAAACAACAUAUCAACUAAAAAUGUACUUAUAUUAAUAUUUGGUUCUAGUACAUUGGUUUUUCAAAUCAACAAUACUAUAUUAUGGUCUUUUUCCACGCAAACAACUAUUUUAUUUUUUUCUAACUAAACUAUAUGCUUUAAGUUUAUUUUCUCAUUAAAUCGUUGUAUUUUAAUUAUGUACUUAGAAAAACAUUACAUUUUAAAUUAAUUAUUUCAUGUCAAUAUAAUUUAGAAAAACAUACAUCAGCAAACAAUUCACUAAACCGGGAAGAGACUUGAUUUUGGAAGUGCAAUGCCUUAAUUCAAAAAAAAUGAAGUUCAAUUCCUUAAUAUAAAGAAAGAGAUUGAGACAAAAUACCCUUAUUCAUGUCAAGAACAUUGACUAAAUGAAAAGAUUAAUGAGAAAACCUGACCAAAAUCUAAAUGUGAUCCCAUAAUAGCAGAGAGAAAAACUUCUCUUAUAGAAAUAUCAUGAGGUCAAAACACCAUAGAUAUCGAGUUCAGAAAUGCUACCUGAGGUUAGAGCUUUGAAAUUUGAAAUCAAGGUCAAAUGAUAAGAGAACAUGCGCAUAUGCUAGAGGACUUUGUUGUUAAGGAGAGAUUGUGGUGGUGAACGAUGGUGAGAAGAAGCGAUAUGUGGUGAAGGUAGUAAAGAAGAUUUAGCCAAGACGGACUUCAUAGCUCAUCCUGUAGAAGACAAAUUUUUUUAUGAGAAGACAAAUCAAAGAAAUUGAACAAAACUUAUAACACCAAAGGAUAAAAUCAUUUGAUCGAACCAUAGACUAAGAAUCAGAUCACAAACAAGAACUUCUUCAUUGAUAGGAGGAUCAAAUGACCAAAUAAAUUGGGUAUUUCCACAACUCUAAACAUAUUAUGACCUGCAAACUGUUGGAUAGGAAGCACCAAAUCUACAUAAAAUGAUCAUGGAAACGAAAAUCAAAACAAUUAGAAAUGCAGCAGCACACAAUAAAAACAAAUAAAAAUCCUAGAUUAAGAAAGACAGAAAGAUACAUGGAAUGGGUCCAAAAGAAUGAUAGAAUCAUUGCUUACCUUCAAAUCGGAUCGAUAGUGAAAAUUAGGGCUUGAAAUCGGUGCAGGAUUUAAAAUCGUGGCAGCGUAUACUAAAAAAAAUAAAAUAUUCAACUCAUUUCAUGAUGAAAUUGAUUACAUUAUACAAUAAAUCUGUAUGCUUUUACCAAAAAUGUCGAAUAGCAAAGAUAGAUAUAAUGAUUACCUUUAAAUCGGUAUAGAGAGUGAGGAGUAUAUGUUUAACUCGUCGCAACUUCUAAAAUCAUUUAAACUCAGGUUCUAUAGUGAGGUUUAGAGCUUGUGGAUGUGUUUGAAAUGAGAGAUUCAUGUUACUAAAAAGAAUGAAACACCAGAAAUUGGAGAGUGGAAGUGAACAAAUCAACAGAGGUGUUGCAGGGAACGAAGGCUUGACAUGUGUAACGAUGACCACGAAAUUGAGUGGUCGUGGCGGUGGAGAGUGAGGGAGUCGUAUGGUUGGUUAAACGCCGCAUAUAGGGGAAGGAAGCGCGAUGCGAGAGACAGGUGCAAAUUACCGAAAUACUGGGAAUUUAAAGGGGCAACCUUUGGGAGAUAAAGAACCGAAAAG
rnacentral:lncRNA from 1 species